CAUUGUUGCCAUGUCACCCUGCAGCUCUUGCCUGUUUUCCCACUGAAGCUAAGCAGGGUUGAGCCUGGCUCGCACCUGAAUGGGAGCCCUCUUUGAGAAACCAAGGUUGUUCCUGGAA
rnacentral:rRNA from 1 species